GCUUGCUCUGUGGGAUCAGUGGCGAACGGGUGAGUAACACGUGAGCAACCUGCCCCUGACUCUGGGAUAAGCGCUGGAAACGGCGUCUAAUACUGGAUAUGUGACGUGACCGCAUGGUCUGCGUUUGGAAAGAUUUUUCGGUUGGGGAUGGGCUCGCGGCCUAUCAGCUUGUUGGUGAGGUAAUGGCUCACCAAGGCGUCGACGGGUAGCCGGCCUGAGAGGGUGACCGGCCACACUGGGACUGAGACACGGCCCAGACUCCUACGGGAGGCAGCAGUGGGGAAUAUUGCACAAUGGGCGAAAGCCUGAUGCAGCAACGCCGCGUGAGGGAUGACGGCCUUCGGGUUGUAAACCUCUUUUAGCAGGGAAGAAGCGAAAGUGACGGUACCUGCAGAAAAAGCGCCGGCUAACUACGUGCCAGCAGCCGCGGUAAUACGUAGGGCGCAAGCGUUAUCCGGAAUUAUUGGGCGUAAAGAGCUCGUAGGCGGUUUGUCGCGUCUGCUGUGAAAUCCCGAGGCUCAACCUCGGGCCUGCAGUGGGUACGGGCAGACU
rnacentral:rRNA from 1 species